rnacentral:rRNA from 1 species
AUUGAACGCUGGCGGCAUGCUUUACACAUGCAAGUCGAGCGGCAGCGCGGGGGCAACCCUGGCGGCGAGCGGCGAACGGGUGAGUAAUGCAUCGGAACGUAUCCUCGAGUGGGGGAUAACCCAGCGAAAGUUGGGCUAAUACCGCAUGAGCUCUGAGGAGGAAAGCGGGGGACCUGCGAGGGCCUCGCGCUGGAGGAGCGGCCGAUGUCCGAUUAGCUAGUUGGUGGGGUAAAGGCUUACCAAGGCGACGAUCGGUAGCUGGUCUGAGAGGAUGAUCAGCCACACUGGGACUGAGACACGGCCCAGACUCCUACGGGAGGCAGCAGUGGGGAAUGUUGGACAAUGGGGGCAACCCUGAUCCAGCCAUGCCGCGUGAGUGAAGAAGGCCUUCGGGUUGUAAAGCUCUUUCGGACGGAACGAAAUGGGAGGGACUAAUACUCCUGUCUGAUGACGGUACCGUAAGAAGAAGCACCGGCUAACUACGUG